GUGGACAUCUGGGUUGGCUGCCUCAGCCAGGUCCCCUGUGGCGAGUGCAUGGCAGGCCUCAGUACUCCCGAGAGGGCAGAAAGCACACAGGUGGUGCUGAGAGCUUGCUGGUGCCGGGUGCCAGCAGCUGAUGCAGGGCUUACCCGGGUGAAAGAAGAAACAGUCCCUGCUCUAGAGAAGCUCACAGUUUAACAGGGAGACAGACAUGCCAACAAAUAUCUGUAUUAAGUUUUGUAAUUAUAGUGUGUACAAAGGUUACAGGAAGACAGAAGAAGGAGAAAAUAGUCAAUGUAUUUAAUCAUCCCAGCAACCGUGGGAGACAGGAAUUGUUGGCUCAUUUUCACAGAUGGGGAAACUGAGCUAAAACUCCUCAUGAAAUCUACAUGGAUGGAUGACAUGCAGGAAGAAACAUAAGCCAUUUCUUCUCAGAGUUCACCAUAUCACUAAGAAUGAUCAGAAUGAUUGUGAAGCACCGGAAAACUCCUAAACAUGAGAAAAAGAAGAUAAUUUAGAGUUUGUUUAUCAGAGCAUCCAGAAGUAACUGAAGCAAGGCACCUAUGAACUCUGCCUUCCUGGCUCAGAAGCCAGUGCUGACCAGGAACUGUGUACAGGAAAGGGAGCUGCCGCCUGCUGACUGAUCCUGCGGAUCCUGCAGGGGUUGGAUGAGCAGCUUUGCCCUGUCAUAUCCCAGCCUAUCCUCCUGGUCCAGCAGCCCUCCCUGGCCCUCACUGCAGCUCACCAGUAACCCGUUUCUGUUGUGCAGAACUGGAGACCUCUCUUCCAAUGCGCAUUUGCACCAGGGUCUGCUUCUCUCAGAUUCUCUCUCUGGUCUGUGUCCAAGCAUACAGGCCAGAACCCAAGGCCAACCUUACUAUGCAUCCAAGGUUUCAAUUAAAUAAUGGGUUUGGGGGCAGU
rnacentral:lncRNA from 1 species